rnacentral:rRNA from 1 species
AUUGAACGCUGGCGGCAUGCUUUACACAUGCAAGUCGGACGAGUGGCGAACGGGUGAGUAACGCAUCGGAACGUACCUAGUAAUGGGGGAUAACUGUCCGAAAGGACAGCUAAUACCGCAUAUUAUUCGAGCGGCCGAUGUCUGAUUAGCUGGUUGGGGGGGUAAAGGCCCACCAAGGCGACGAUGAGUAGCGGGUCUGAGAGGAUGAUCGGCCACAUUGGGACUGAGAAACGGCCAAGACGCCUACGGGAGGCAGCAGUGGGGAAUUUUGGACAAUGGGCGCAAGCCUGAUCGAGCCAUGCCGCGUGUGUGAAGAAGGUUUUCGGGUUGUAAAAGACUUUUGUCAGGUAAGCGGUACCUAAACAAUAAGCAACGGCUAACUACGUGCCAGCAGCCGCGGUAAUAC